ACAAGAAGAUGUGACCGUGGUGACCGGCAACAGUAGGGCCUGGUUACACUGAAUGUUCUUGGAAAUGUCUGAGAAGCCGGCCUGCCACUGCUCAAAUAAACUAAGGGCCAUUGACCAGUGAAGUGGCCAUCAUUCGUGAUGUGGUCUACAGUUGGUUCGACAAGUCAACAAGAGGACUGGACUGCCCUGGAAGCAAGCAGAAGUCUGGCUAAUACUCAGCCAGGCUGCCUUUAACACCAGCACUUGAAGGGCCAGCCUGGUCCACAAGGAGAAACCCUGAAAAAUAAAGUAAAAUACAUUGACUUACUAUAUACUUAG
rnacentral:lncRNA from 1 species